rnacentral:rRNA from 1 species
UACAGAGGGUGCGAGCGUUGUUCGGAAUUAUUGGGCGUAAAGGGCGCGUAGGCGGUGCCACAAGUCACUUGUGAAAUCUCCGGGCUUAACUCGGAGCCUGCAGGCGAAACUGUGGUGCUGGAGUGUGGGAGAGGUGCGUGGAAUUCCCGGUGUAGCGGUGAAAUGCGCAGAGAUCGGGAGGAACACCGGUGGCGAAGGCGGCUACCUGGACCGGUUCUGACGCUGAUGCGCGAAAGCGUGGGUAGCAAACAGG